rnacentral:lncRNA from 1 species
UAAGCAGCAAAUGAUGAAACACAAUGCCUUUAUUGAUAUAUAUCGAGUGUCAAAGUAUAUGAUUUGGAGGAUUACAAAGAGAAACCCAUCAAAUGAUUGGCUUAUAAGGCAUCUACUCUUUCAGACUCAUGCUUUCCUUGGGUCGACCCAACUCACUGUUCUUCUGUGCCAUUUUUGCAGAAGUGUGCCAAAUGCUUUCUUGAUGUGCCGGGGUCGACCCAAUCAUCCUUUGGUUCGACUCAAUCCACACUUUGCUGCAUCUCAAGGUUAGAUUCAUUCAAAUAAACAAUGAAAUGUAUCUAUAUCAAUUUAUACAAAUAUACCGAGAGUAAUAAACUUAUAAAUGAAGUAUCGAUUUAACUUAUAACAUACUCUAGAUAAUUGCUUGUUAAUCAUCAAAAUAACACUAUCAUCCUCAAUCUCCCCCUUUUUGAUGAUUACAAAAUAAAGAGUAUAAGCCUAUUGAUACUUAUCUUAAAAUCAAUUUUUGAAAGGGCUUAACUUGCUGAAUUUCAGC